UACAGAGGGUGCGAGCGUUGUUCGGAAUCAUUGGGCGUAAAGCGCUUGUAGGCGGCCUGCCAAGUCGCGUGUGAAAUCCCCUGGCUCAACCAGGGAAGUGCGCGCGAAACUGGCGGGCUUGGAGUGCCGGAGAGGGUCGCGGAAUUCCCGGUGUAGAGGUGAAAUUCGUAGAUAUCGGGAGGAACACCGGUGGCGAAGGCGGCGACCUGGGUAGAUACUGACGCUGAGGUGCGAAAGCGUGGGGAGCAAACAGG
rnacentral:rRNA from 1 species